rnacentral:rRNA from 1 species
AACACAUGCAAGUCGAGGGGCAGCACAGGUAGUUAUACCGGGUGGCGACCGGCGCACGGGUGAGUAACGCGUAUGCAACUUACCUAUCAGAGGGGGAUAACCCGGCGAAAGUCGGACUAAUACCGCAUGAAGCAGGGGCCCCGCAUGGGGAUAUUUGCUAAAGAUUCAUCGCUGAUAGAUAGGCAUGCGUUCCAUUAGGCAGUUGGCGGGGUAACGGCCCACCAAACCGACGAUGGAUAGGGGUUCUGAGAGGAAGGUCCCCCACAUUGGUACUGAGACACGGACCAAACUCCUACGGGAGGCAGCAGUGAGGAAUAUUGGUCAAUGGCCGAGAGGCUGAACCAGCCAAGUCGCGUGAGGGAUGAAGGUUCUAUGGAUCGUAAACCUCUUUUAUAAGGGAAUAAAGUGCGGGACGUGUCCCGUUUUGUAUGUACCUUAUGAAUAAGGAUCGGCUAACUCCGUGCCAGCAGCCGCGGUAAUACGGAGGAUCCGAGCGUUAUCCGGAUUUAUUGGGUUUAAAGGGUGCGUAGGCGGCCUUUUAAGUCAGCGGUGAAAGUCUGUGGCUCAACCAUAGAAUUGCCGUUGAAACUGGGAGGCUUGAGUAUGUUUGAGGCAGGCGGAAUGCGUGGUGUAGCGGUGAAAUGCAUAGAUAUCACGCAGAACCCCGAUUGCGAAGGCAGCCUGCCAAGCCAUUACUGACGCUGAUGCACGAAAGCGUGGGGAUCAAACAGGAUUAGAUACCCUGGUAGUCCACGCAGUAAACGAUGAUCACUAGCUGUUUGCGAUACACUGUAAGCGGCACAGCGAAAGCGUUAAGUGAUCCACCUGGGGAGUACGCCGGCAACGGUGAAACUCAAAGGAAUUGACGGGGGCCCGCACAAGCGGAGGAACAUGUGGUUUAAUUCGAUGAUACGCGAGGAACCUUACCCGGGUUUGAACGCAUUCGGACCGAGGUGGAAACACCUUUUCUAGCAAUAGCCGUUUGCGAGGUGCUGCAUGGUUGUCGUCAGCUCGUGCCGUGAGGUGUCGGCUUAAGUGCCAUAACGAGCGCAACCCUUGCCACUAGUUACUAACAGGUAAAGCUGAGGACUCUGGUGGGACUGCCAGCGUAAGCUGCGAGGAAGGCGGGGAUGACGUCAAAUCAGCACGGCCCUUACAUCCGGGGCGACACACGUGUUACAAUGGCGUGGACAAAGGGAAGCCACCUGGCGACAGGGAGCGAAUCCCCAAACCACGUCUCAGUUCGGAUCGGAGUCUGCAACCCGACUCCGUGAAGCUGGAUUCGCUAGUAAUCGCGCAUCAGCCAUGGCGCGGUGAAUACGUUCCCGGGCCUUGUACACACCGCCCGUCAAGCCAUGGGAGCCGGGGGUACCUGAAGUCCGUAACCGCGAGGAUCGGCCUAGGGUAAAACUGGUGACUGGGGCUAAGUG